UACAGAGGUCUCAAGCGUUGUUCGGAUUCAUUGGGCGUAAAGGGUGCGUAGGCGGCGCGGUAAGUCGGGUGUGAAAUCUCGGAGCUUAACUCCGAAACUGCAUUCGGUACUGCCGUGCUUGAGGACUGGAGAGGAGACUGGAAUUUACGGUGUAGCGGUGAAAUGCGUAGAUAUCGUAAGGAAGACCAGUGGCGAAGGCGGGUCUCUGGACAGUUCCUGACGCUGAGGCACGAAGGCCAGGGGAGCAAACGGG
rnacentral:rRNA from 1 species